rnacentral:rRNA from 1 species
ACACGGGGGAUGCCCUGGCAGUCAGAGGCGAUGAAGGACGUGCUAAUCUGCGAUAAGCGCCGGUAAGGUGAUAUGAACCGUUAUAACCGGCGAUUUCCGAAUGGGGAAACCCAGUGUGAUUCGUCACACUAUCAUUAACUGAAUCCAUAGGUUAAUGAGGCGAACCGGGGGAACUGAAACAUCUAAGUACCCCGAGGAAAAGAAAUCAACCGAGAUUCCCCCAGUAGCGGCGAGCGAACGGGGAGGAGCCCAGAGCCUGAAUCAGCAUGUGUGUUAGUGGAAGCGUCUGGAAAGGUGCGCGAUACAGGGUGACAGCCCCGUACACAAAAGCGCAUGUGCUGUGAGCUCGAUGAGUAGGGCGGGACACGUGGUAUCCUGUCUGAAUAUGGGGGGACCAUCCUCCAAGGCUAAAUACUCCUGACUGACCGAUAGUGAACCAGUACCGUGAGGGAAAGGCGAAAAGAACCCCGGCGAGGGGAGUGAAAAAGAACCUGAAACCGUGUACGUACAAGCAGUGGGAGCNNGUGACUGCGUACCUUUUGUAUAAUGGGUCAGCGACUUAUAUUCUGUAGCAAGGUUAACCGUAUAGGGGAGCCGGAGGGAAACCGAGUCUUAAUUGGGCGUUAAGUUGCAGGGUAUAGACCCGAAACCCGGUGAUCUAGCCAUGGGCAGGUUGAAGGUUGGGUAACACUAACUGGAGGACCGAACCGACUAAUGUUGAAAAAUUAGCGGAUGACCUGUGGCUGGGGGUGAAAGGCCAAUCAAACCGGGAGAUAGCUGGUUCUCCCCGAAAGCUAUUUAGGUAGCGCCUCGUGAAUUCAUCUCCGGGGGUAGAGCACUGUUUCGGCUAGGGGGCCAUCCCGGCUUACCAACCCGAUGCAAACUGCGAAUACCGGAGAAUGUUAUCACGGGAGACACACGGCGGGUGCUAACGUCCGUCGUGAAGAGGGAAACAACCCAGACCGCCAGCUAAGGUCCCAAAGUCAUGGUUAAGUGGGAAACGAUGUGGGAAGGCCCAGACAGCCAGGAUGUUGGCUUAGAAGCAGCCAUCAUUUAAAGAAAGCGUAAUAGCUCACUGGUCGAGUCGGCCUGCGCGGAAGAUGUAACGGGGCUAAACCAUGCACCGAAGCUGCGGCAGCGANNNNNNNNNNNNNNNUGCUGGAGGUAUCAGAAGUGCGAAUGCUGACAUAAGUAACGAUAAAGCGGGUGAAAAGCCCGCUCGCCGGAAGACCAAGGGUUCCUGUCCAACGUUAAUCGGGGCAGGGUGAGUCGACCCCUAAGGCGAGGCCGAAAGGCGUAGUCGAUGGGAAACGGGUUAAUAUUCCCGUACUUGGUGUUACUGCGAAGGGGGGACGGAGAAGGCUAUGUUGGCCGGGCGACGGUUGUCCCGGUUUAAGCGUGUAGGUGUGUGUUCCAGGUAAAUCCGGUUCACUUUAACACUGAGGCGUGACGACGAGGCACUACGGUGCUGAAGCAACAAAUGCCCUGCUUCCAGGAAAAGCCUCUAAGCAUCAGGUAACAUCAAAUCGUACCCCAAACCGACACAGGUGGUCAGGUAGAGAAUACCAAGGCGCUUGAGAGAACUCGGGUGAAGGAACUAGGCAAAAUGGUGCCGUAACUUCGGGAGAAGGCACGCUGACACGUAGGUGAAGUGAUUUACUCACGGAGCUGAAGUCAGUCGAAGAUACCAGCUGGCUGCAACUGUUUAUUAAAAACACAGCACUGUGCAAACACGAAAGUGGACGUAUACGGUGUGACGCCUGCCCGGUGCCGGAAGGUUAAUUGAUGGGGUCAGCGCAAGCGAAGCUCCUGAUCGAAGCCCCGGUAAACGGCGGCCGUAACUAUAACGGUCCUAAGGUAGCGAAAUUCCUUGUCGGGUAAGUUCCGACCUGCACGAAUGGCGUAAUGAUGGCCAGGCUGUCUCCACCCGAGACUCAGUGAAAUUGAACUCGCUGUGAAGAUGCAGUGUACCCGCGGCAAGACGGAAAGACCCCGUGAACCUUUACUAUAGCUUGACACUGAACAUUGAGCCUUGAUGUGUAGGAUAGGUGGGAGGCUUUGAAGUGUGGACGCCAGUCUGCAUGGAGCCGACCUUGAAAUACCACCCUUUAAUGUUUGAUGUUCUAACGUGGACCCGUAAUCCGGGUUGCGGACAGUGUCUGGUGGGUAGUUUGACUGGGGCGGUCUCCUCCUAAAGAGUAACGGAGGAGCACGAAGGUUGGCUAAUCCUGGUCGGACAUCAGGAGGUUAGUGCAAUGGCAUAAGCCAGCUUGACUGCGAGCGUGACGGCGCGAGCAGGUGCGAAAGCAGGUCAUAGUGAUCCGGUGGUUCUGAAUGGAAGGGCCAUCGCUCAACGGAUAAAAGGUACUCCGGGGAUAACAGGCUGAUACCGCCCAAGAGUUCAUAUCGACGGCGGUGUUUGGCACCUCGAUGUCGGCUCAUCACAUCCUGGGGCUGAAGUAGGUCCCAAGGGUAUGGCUGUUCGCCAUUUAAAGUGGUACGCGAGCUGGGUUUAGAACGUCGUGAGACAGUUCGGUCCCUAUCUGCCGUGGGCGCUGGAGAACUGAGGGGGGCUGCUCCUAGUACGAGAGGACCGGAGUGGACGCAUCACUGGUGUUCGGGUUGUCAUGCCAAUGGCACUGCCCGGUAGCUAAAUGCGGAAGAGAUAAGUGCUGAAAGCAUCUAAGCACGAAACUUGCCCCGAGAUGAGUUCUCCCUGAGACUUAGAGUCUCCUGAAGGAACGUUGAAGACGACGACGUUGAUAGGCCGGGUG